rnacentral:lncRNA from 1 species
UGGCGCUGUAAACAUUCUGCAAACAUUACAGAGACUGGAUUGAAGGCCAGUUUUGUUUGGGACUUCUUUCAGCUGAGGAGUUAUAUACAGUUGGUGUAGGACAGAGGGUACUCCUUUUUUUUGCUUUUGAAGUGAGUCCAUGCUAGAAGAAGUUCGGGAACCACCUCAAUGCACUGACUUGGGAAGUCCAGUUUUGAAGCCCAGACUUGUGCACUUUAGGUUUUUUUUAAAUCAGCUAUCCCACAGGGUGGAUCUGAACUGAGGACACACUCAUAAUGUGCCUAGUUGUCAAUGCAUAAUAGUCAUGCCUUAGAUUUGAUUGAACCACCAACCUUUUAAUUAGUAGAUGAUCUGCUCUACCUCCUGAGCUACAUCCACCCCAACCAAACCUCAUUUUACAGCUACGUCAAUGAUAUACAGUCUGUAGUUCAAAUAUACACCACUGUGUGUUUAUCAGGCUUUGGAUAUGUGGACAGUGACUGUUUGCACGAUUGCUUUAUUGGUAAGUUUGGUAUUUUAUGCAAUUUGAAGAAGAAAAAAAUCUCAGAUAAAAAUGUAACACAUUACUAGAGUUUUGUAUUAAAAUGGAACUAUUAGGCUCAUUUUCAGCUCUGUGUGUUUUAUUCUUGGAUUCUGCUAGAGUAGCUUUGCAUCAUUAGUUAAGCCUUAUUAAUUUUAUACUUGGCCUUGAAGAAGCCCCUCAGUUUUGUUUCUAACAAGCCCUGUUAAUACAUCACCCCCUCCUCUUAAUCCAGCUUUCUCCUGACUGGCUGUUCUGACACGACAAUGAACAACAGGUGGGCGGAGCUUCAGCGCGCACAGCCAGAGCUGUGUCCACAUUAAGCGUAGUAUCACACACAUCACUGACAUCACACAGACCGAAGAGUAGACUCGCUAAUAUUCAGAUCUCAUAUAGCAUCCACUGCUGUAGCAGCACUACAGUUUUUAACUUGUGCUGUGAUAAUAAUACUUAACAAAUAAUUUUACUAAGAGUGGAGGGUCAAUGCAGUCCACAGCUUCAAAGAAAAGGAGCGAGAGAAAAAAAAACCCAAGAAAGAUAAAGAAAAAGAGAAGAAGCCGCAGGAUGAGAGCACCGUGACAGCUCCUGGGUUGCGCACCCCCCCCCCCCCCCUCCCCCCUCCAUCUGGAAAGAAACAAAGUGUGAUGCGAGAGUGGGAGAAAGAGAUGGGUUGGGGUGGGGGGGGACGGAAUGACAGCGGGCUGGAUGGUUGGUGAUGGAUGAAACAAUGGCAUUUUAGCUCGGGUGCCAGUGUGUGUGAGUUUGUGUGAUAUACUUUGGCUGUGUGUGUGUGUGUGGGUGGGUGGGUGAGUGGGGGGUAGGUCUGAUGCCACGCGGCUGAAUUUUGCAGGGUCCGAGUCUUCAGCAGCAUCUGACCUUUGACCUGCCUGCUGUGCUUGGUUCAACUCAUUUACAAUGACCACUUGAGAUAAAAAAUAUAAAUAUCUUGAUGCUAACCAAAGAGAGUGUGUGUGUGUGUGUGUUUAGCCUACGUGACAUGAAAGGACAUCUUUUAAUGAGCGAGUGAAAUGAAUCUCCAAAAAAAAAGAAAAAAGAAAAAAAGACAGCAUUUAACAAUAUUCUUUACAUCUUGGCACUGCAUAUUUUUCUUUUUUUCCUAUUCAUUUCAUAUAAAAUAUCAUUAAAUUGAUACACCCUUAUAUUACUACUGACCACUUAAACCACCCCUCCCCCUCCCCCCUAAAAUCUCCGUGACCCUGGGAUUAGUCAUGCAAGAUAUCUCCGUCUCGUAGAGGAAAUAUACCAGUCCUGCCCAGUGUCGUUUUUUUUUUUUUUUCCAUUUUACUCGAGCAGGUAUUUCUUUAGCGCGCAGCCUCGCGAGGCAGCGGCUGGACCGUCAAAAGGAAGUAUCAAAAAACAGCUUAACACAAAGAGG